rnacentral:rRNA from 1 species
AUUGAACGCUGCGGCAUGCUUUACACAUGCAAGUCGAACGGUAACAGGUCUUUCGGGAUGCUGACGAGUGGCGAACGGGUGAGUAAUGUAUCGGAACGUGCCCAGUAGUGGGGGAUAACUACUCGAAAGAGUGGCUAAUACCGCAUGAGAUCUCUGGAUGGAAAGCGGGGGACCGUAAGGCCUCGCGCUACUGGAGCGGCCGAUGUCGGAUUAGCUAGUUGGUGGGGUAAAGGCCUACCAAGGCGACGAUCCGUAGCGGGUCUGAGAGGAUGAUCCGCCACACUGGGACUGAGACACGGCCCAGACUCCUACGGGAGGCAGCAGUGGGGAAUUUUGGACAAUGGGCGGAAGCCUGAUCCAGCCAUGCCGCGUGAGUGAAGAAGGCCUUCGGGUUGUAAAGCUCUUUCGGCGGGGAAGAAAUUGCUUGGGUUAAUACCCUGAGUAGAUGACGGUACCCGAAUAAGAAGCACCGGCUAACUACGUG